UUAUUUUUCUAGAUCCGCCACUGGUGAUUCGUACCUUCAUUGGCAAGACACAUUUUGAGGUGUAUGGGCACCCAUAAACAAAAUUGUGCAGGCUUUAUUAAGUUACAAAGUAGGCAAUACCUUGUCAGAUAUGGGUUGGGUCAUGACAGAUGGUAUCAGAGCGACUUCGCAUGUCCUCUUAAGCGAUGGUGGGGCUAACCGUCGCGAGUACUCUGAGUCCUUAAGGGGGGUGUAAGUAACAUCUCAGUCAAAUCCCACAUCAGCAAAGCACAGGAGAAAUGCUACGUUUUUAAAAGGGUGAUCAACACCGAAAUUGCCGAGACGCGUUUUGGGGUGUAUGGGCACCCUAGGAACAAAACUGUAUGGGCUUUAUUACGGCCCAAAAGGGAUUAUAUGUAGUCAAUUCUGGGUUUGGUCAUGACAAAUAGUAUCAGAGCGGCUUCACAUGUCCUUUUGAGUGAUGGUGGGGCAAAUCUUAGCGAGGACGUUGAGUCCCUAAAGGGGUGUACGUAACACCCUAGGCAAAUCUCACAUCGGCAAAGUACAGGAGAGAUGCUAGGUUUAUAAGGGGGUGAUUCGUACUUUCAUUGGCAAGACACAUUUUGAGGUGUAUGGGCACCCAGAAACAAAACUGUGCAGGCUUUAUUAAGGUACAAAGUAGACAAUACCUUGUCAGACUUGGGUUGGGUCAUGACAGAUGGUAUUAGAGCAACUUCACGUGUCCUCUUAAGCGAUGGUGGGGCUAACCGCAGCGAGUACGCUGAGUCCUUAAGGGGGGUGUAAGUAACAUCCCAGUCGAAUCCCACAUCAGUAAAGCACGGGAGAGAAGUUGGGUUUAUAAAGGGUGAUCUACGCCUUAAUUGGCAAGACGCGUUUUGGGGUAUAUGGGGCCACAAGAACAAAACCAUGCGGGCCUUAUUAAGGCCCAAAGCAGACAAUAUCUUAUCGGGUCUGGGUUAGGUCAUGACAGAUGGUAUCAGAGCGGCUUCGUGUGUCCUCUUGAGUAAUGGUGGGACAAACCUCAGCGUAGACGCUGAGUCCCUAAGGAGAUGUAUGUAACACCCUAGGCGAAUUCCACAUUGACAAUGCACGGGAGAGAUGACGAGUUUAUAAAGGGUGAUACAUACUUUAAUUGGUAAGACACGUUUUGGGAUGUAUGGAUGCCCCAGAAAAAUAACCAUGCGGGGCUUGUUAAGGUUUAAAGCGAACAAUAUCUUGUAAAUUAUGGGUUGGGUCAUGAUAGAUGGUAUCAGAGCGGCUCCGCGUGUCCUCUUGAGCCAUGGUCGAGCAAACCUCAGCGAGGACGCUGAGUCUCUAAGAGGUGGUGUAUGUAACACCCUAGGCGAAUCCCACAUCAGUAAAAUACUAGAAAGAUGAUGGGUUUAUAAGCGGUGAUCCGCACCUUAAUUGGCAAGACGAGUUUUGAGUUGUAUAGGCGCCUAAUGAACAAAACUGUGCGGACCUUGUUAAAGCCUAAAGCGGACAAUAUCUUAACAGGUCUGGGUUGGGUCAUGAAAUUAUGAAUUUUUCAUGAUUUUAGGGACUCAGCGUCCUCGUUGAGGUUUGCCCCACCAUCGCUCAAGAGAACACGCGGAGCCACUCUAAUAUCAUUUGUCAUGACCGAACUCAGAUCUGGCAAGAUAUUGUCCGCUUUAGGCCUUAUUAAGGUCUGUACGGUUUUAUUUCUGGGGCGCCCAUACACCUCAAAGGCGUCUUGCCAAUUAAUUUGUGGAUCACCCCUUAUAAAUACAACAUCUCUCUCGUACUUUGUCGAUUUAGGAUUCGACUAGAGUGUUACAAUGAGGGCAUGAGUGCAUGAGCACAUGAAAUCAUUUAAGCACUAUUGCUAUAAAGCAUGAUUGUAAGAUAACAUAGCUAAGCAUGAUAGCGUUAACAAGUCAAAUAAAUAUGACUGUAGGACAGUGCAAUCAUCAAAAAGCAAAAUAGUAUGGGAACAUAGCUAUGGGAGGUGAGUUUAAUUUAAAAAAAAAAAAAGGCAUGUUCGCCGAAUCCAAUAGCGAGGGUUGAUAGUUGGACAUAUUACCUAAGCCUAAAGGAAAAACCUAAAAGCUCCCAAAGCCUAAAGUGAGUUGAAGAAUGAGACAAAAUGCUAGAGAUAAACAUGGUAUUAGAUAAAGCUCAAUUUAAAAAGGAGAUAAAUAUAAACAUUAGAUAAAAACUUUAAUGAGAACAAAGAGUCAUCAAGGGCUCAGGAUACCUAAAUUACAUUAUAAAGAGAGAACCCUGGACGCAUAGAGGGAUAUGAGUAAAUAGUUAGACAAAAAAAAAAUUCAUUGUGAUCUUUAUCAAAUAGUGAAAAUUGCUCUUUCUAUACCCGCGAAUGUAGGUCAAGUGCUAAAUCAUGUUAAUUAUCUAUUCUUAUUUUACAUCAUCCCUGUUGAGAAGCUUAGCCUAUGAUUUCUAUUCUACUUAUAAAUCCAAGUAUCUCCCAUUUACUGGCCAAUGCGGGACACAACUCAAUAACCCCCUCCCCCCAAUGAAACCACUAUCAAACUUCAGUCAUUUCAUUCAAUACAUUCAAGUUGUUCUACCACCAUAUGCUAGCUAUUAGGGUCUAACUCUGAUACCAUUUGUUAUGGGGACUUGACCUAUGAUUUCUAGUUAUCCAAUUCUAAAGACUAGUCUAUUAAAUAGAGUAACAUAUCAUAUUUAUAAACCCAAAUAUCUCUCUUUUACUAAUCAAUACGGGACACAACUCAAUAGUCCCAUUAUUUAAUUCUAUAAUUGACCAGAAUUUAGCGUUAAUAGAUUGGCAUCGUUUGUGGGAUGAUAUAAUUAUCCAUAAAUAAAAAUGAAUACCACAAAAUCAAAAGUCAAUAAAAUCAAUUAGUCAUCGUAGUUAUGGGUUACUAUUGGUUCCAAGCCCCCCAAGAAGACAACGUAGGAACAUUGGCCCCAACCACCAUUUGUUAAACAAGUGGCUGACUAGGCACAUGACAUUACUUUGGUGCUCUAAUACGUAGAGAACCAAAGGAAUAUUUUGCCAGUCUAACCUGUUGAAGAGCAACAGCAAUAGUACAUAAUAAAAAAUAUGAACACUAAAGAGAAAGAACUCAAACUUCAUGAGUCAAAAGCCUUGAAAGUCAUGCUAAUCAUGAAAGUGGUGAUCUUUGACAAGUAUUAAACUCUAAAAACCUGUGUGAGAGGCUGAAUAAAAGAUAACUAAUCUAUAAGGUCUAAGGAAGAUAAGUUUAGUGCUGCCUCAGCAAGCCUUCAAGUAGAGUUAAAUAAACUCAAAAAAAGGAUAGGUGACACAAAAAAAAAAAGAAAAAAAUGUUGGAUCAUUUUUUGAAGAAGUAAAGCCUUCACUAGUGACAUAUUAGAUGCACCACUUCCUCCAAAGGUCAAAAUUCCUCAAAUAAUGUUGCAUGAAGAAGAAUGAGAUCUGGGUGAACACUUAGAGACUUCUAGGUCUUGGAUGGAGUUGCAAUGAGCAAUAGGAGCAGCCAUGUGUAGGACUUUCUUGUGAACACUCACGGGAUCAACAUGCAAUUGGUACAGAAAGCCAAAGCCAGAGUUGACAGCUUUAUUUGCUUAGUUAAGUCAAGUUUUUAGCUAAUUUGUUGGUGCCAGAGACCAUCAAUUUCCCCUGACUCAUAUUUUGUUAGUUAAGUAAAGAAAGGACGAGUUAUUGAAAAAUUAUAUUAUUUGCUUUAACAAAGAAGCAAUACGGCUGGAAAACUACAGUAAUGCAGAAGCCUUAACGACCAUUAUAGUCGGUUUAUAACCACGAACAUUCCAUUACUCGCUCAGAAAAAAUACGCCAAAAACCUUUACAAAGUUAUUAUCGAGAGCACAAAAGAACAAUAACCUAAACUCAUAGAAGCUAAGAGAAUAGAGGAAAAGAUUCUUAGUCUCAUAUAAAAGGAGAUUAGGAAAAGUUAAAGUGAAAUUCCCAGUCUCACAAGAGUGAGAGCAAAAUAGUCAACAACAAAAUUUUUGGUCUCAUUAAAAAAGAAUGUGAAAAGGUAAAGAUAAGUUUUUUUUAGAAUAGGACAAGUUGAAGAUAAAUUCCUGGUUAUAUAAAAAGGAGAACAUAAAAAGUUAAGGAUAAGUUCUUAAGAGCAGAAAAACCUAAAGAUAAAUUUUUGAUCUCAUAAAAAAGAGAAUAGGAAAAGUUAAAGAUAAGUUCCUAAGAGGAAAAAGGUUAAAAAUAAAUUCUUGAGUAUAAAAAGUUAAAACUAAGUUCCUGAGAGUGGGAAAAGUUAAAGAUAAGUUCCUGAGUCUCUUAAAAUGGAGAGUAGUAAGAAAGAAAAUCGACAAGAAAAGUUAAAAGAAAAAUGCCUAAUCUCCUAAAUAUAAGAACAAUAUGAAACAAGAAUUAGUAUCAAGAAAACAAGAUUGCGGAGGUAUUGAAGCUCAUAAUUUAUUACACACAUUAAAUUAAACAUGAAGCAAAAAAAUUCAAUACAUACAAUAAAAAAAAGAAAUCAAGAGUAAAGUUUACAGCAGGAGGUGGUUGGAUAUUUAUGAUAGCCUCGUAUUUGUUAUCCUCCGCAAGAUAUUUACAAAAGGUUGGAUCAAAAAAGUCCUUAGAGUCUGAAGACAUUGCUUGUUUAUUAGGCAAACAUUUCGAGCAAAAAAAAAAAAGAAAUGACUAAUACUUACCAGGAAGAAAUGUUAAUAAGUUAUCUAACACUCUAGUUAUCUAAACUUACAGAGGUGAGGUGGAGGAAUGAAUUUUGCAUGAAAUAAAAUAACAAAAAUAAUAAUGUUGGCUUUUAACAUUUGUAAGUCAGCUUCAAAGAGUUAGGGGCAACUAUUGUGAAGAAAAAAUAUGGCAAGUCAAAUAACAUGAGACCAUAAGAGCAUGUUGAAAUACAAGUAUGCAACCCAAGAGGGGGGGUGAAUUGGGAUUUUAAAAUUAUGCAAUACAAUUCUCUCAACAAUUUAAUCUAUUGCCUUAAUCAAAUUGAAAACAAUAAAUUCAAUCAUGCACAAUAUUAAAAGAGUAAGGGAAGAGAAAACAAACACAAAGAUUUUUACGUGGUUCGGCAAUCCCCGCCUACGUCCACGCCUCCAAGCUCACCGGGCUUGAGGAUUUCACUAAGCUAGCCUCCCAAGGCUUCAAACGCUUACAAUUGACUUCCAAGGUGUCAAUGGACCUUUACAACAAGAGAUUAUCCCCAAUCUCUUAACCCAAGUGUAUCCCAACACUUACAAUCACUCAAAGUAGAAGAUUACAAAUUGUUUUUCUCUCACACAAUAUUUAAGAUUACAAAUCAAUGCCCAAUGUGUGAAUAGAUGAAGAGAGAAUGUGUUUAAAGCUCAAUGAAGAUUGUAUUCUCGAAUAUAAGCUCAAUGAUUAUGUUGUGAUCAAUCUUGUUUGAAUUUGGAUGAGCUUAUUUAUAGUUAGAGCUGAAAAUCUAGCCGUUACAAACUGUCGGACAGAAAACGGUUCGCCGUUAACCAUAAACGGUUAACCGUUUCGUUUGGUCAAAGUUACCGUUGGGCCAAAUUUCAAAUAAACGGUUAGCCGUUUAGGCUUACCCUUUCGCCGUUAAUUUCCAGAAACCUGCAAAACAAAUUUGGUUUAACCGUUCUUACUAAACGGUUCAAGGUUAGCAAUCUGGAAAUAAUCGGUUAACCGUUUUCAGUAAACGGUUCACCGUUAGUUUCCAGAAUCAUCAUUUUAACAAUACUUUGCAGAACAUGCUUUCUGGAAAUUAUCGGUUAGCCUUUUUUAAAUAAACAGUUAGCCGUUUUUAAAUAAACGGUUAGCCGUUUGCUACAGUGAUUGCUACAGUAACCUGCACAGUGCACUUUUUUCUGAAAUUACAGUUUGACCCCAAAACUUUACAAAACUGUACUAUAACCCAAAACGUUAUGAAACUUUACAAAUAGGUCCAAUUUCAGAAUUUCUAAGUAAUGCUUUGUUAAUCCCAAAACUUUCUGAAAUUAUGUUAUAGCCCAAAAUGCUAUGACACUUUUCAAAUAAGUCCUUCACCAAAAUUUCAAGCAAUACUUGUUUAUUUCAAAGUUUUCAAAAUGUUUCAAUUAAACCAUAAACUUUGAAAAACAACCAAUUUCAUAAAAUCAUUUUUCCAUUAAAUAUGAAACAUUUAUAAUGUGAAAAUAAUGAUUUAUUUAAAAAGAAUAAAAACAAUCAAUUUCAUAAAAUCAUUUUUCCAUUAAAUACAAAACAUUUAUAAUGUGAAAAUAAUGAUUUAUUUAAAAAGAAUAUUAAAUAAUUUGAGCUUAAAAGAUUAAUCAUUCUCAAUCUUGUUUGUUAUCAUCAAAAUCAAUAUUAUGGAAACAUAUAUGUUAACACAUGUUGGCUCAGUAAAAAGCUUUAUAAGUCAUUUAAGAACAGUUACAUGAGAGCAUGUGAGCAUAAGAGCAUGAGAGCAUGAGAGCAUGCUAAUUCAGUAGAAAACUUAAUAAGUCAAAUAAGCACAGUUGCAUGAGAGCAAGUGAGCAUGGGAGCAUGUGAGCAGAAGGGCAUGAAGUCAAAUAAGCACAACUCUUGUAGAGCAUCUAGAACAUGAUUGUAAAAGAGUCAUAGCUAAGCAUCUUCUAGAGCAUGAUUGUAAGUCAUAGCUAAGCAUGAUAGCACUCAAUAAGUCAAAUAAAUAUGAUUGCAAGAGAGUGCAAUUGUAGAAGAGCUUACAAUUGCACAAUAAUUCAAGAGCACAAUUGUGGGAGAUGAGUUUAAUUUUUUAAAAAAAACCACCUACUGAAUCCAACAACUAGGGUCUGGUAGUUGGAUGUGCUAUCUAAGUUUAAAAGUAGAAUCCAGAAGCUCUCGAAUCCUAAGUAAGUUUAAGAAGGAGAUAAAAUGCUAGAGAUAAAUGUGGAUAUUAGAUAAAACUCAGUUUAAGAAAGAGAUAAAUAUUAACAUUAGAUAAAAACUCUAAUGAGAACAAAGAGUAAUCAAGAGCUUAGGAUACCAAAAUUAUAAUAUAAAUAGAGAUCAUUUGAUGCAUAAGGGGAUACGAGCAAAAAAUUUAAAAAAAAAAAUUACUGUAAUUCUUAUUUAACCGUGAAAGUUGCUCAUUUUAAACUUCUGACAUAAGAUAAGUAUUGAACCAUAUAAAUUAUCUGUCUUGUUUUGUAUAUCGUCCGAUCAUUUAAUUUUGUGACUGACCAGAAAUUAGCGUAAGCAUCAUUUAUGGAAAAAUUUAUUGUUCUUCAUUUUUAUAAAAAGAGAAAGGAGCUUCAUGAAAAUUCCAAUCAGUCUCCUCAACAUUAGUGAGAGCAUCAGUCCACCAUCAGCCUAUAAAAUUACGGCAAUUGGCAUUCUUCUUCUUCUUCUUCUUUUUGUGGAAACUAAUCGGCAUUCUUCUUUGUUCCUGAUUAUUCAUGCAGGAGUUGUUAAUUUCCCAUCAAUGAACUAGAUGACGCCAGCUGUUGUCGCCCAAGUCAGAGUUCAUCAAAAGAUUAUAAUAACCGUACGUUAACAUGGAUAAAUAAUCAAACAAUAUGAACAAGGAAUGGAAGGAUAGAAUAAACAAAUUAAAAUUAAAAGCAGGUCUUGUUCAAAAAUAAUAAUAAUAAUAAUUAAAACACGCCAUGUGUCUCAUCAAGGAUAUCACGUAAAACAUUAAUUAAUUCUACCCAAUAAAAUGAAUGAUUUGUCAACUCCAUUUUUUAUGGAUAGACAUAAUUGAGUUAGUUCAACCAUAUUCAUUAUUGAAGCAUACAAUACAACAAUUAAUAUAAGUUGGAUGUAAAGCCAUAAUUUUUUUAGCUGUGGUAGAUCGUCGAGUUAUUAAUUAAAUAGGAAAAGCACGUUCGUUUCGAUACUCAACUUUCAUUUAUUUGUUUUGUACGUAAAUGUUUUUAUUUAGUCUCUACAAAUUGAAUUAAUUAAGCAGUUAAUUCAUAUAUUUUUUAAAAAAAAUUAUGAUGCGAUAUUAUAUACAUCUACUUUUAUUAAAAAUUACUUAAUUAUCAUAAUUUUUUUUUUACUUGUUGCAUGUCAAACUUAUUUAGAUUUUAAGUUAUAUCACAUAAAAAGAUUAUUUUACGGUUGAAAAGUUUAGAUUCAACAAGUACAAAAAUUACAACAUAGAUAUUUUAUAAAUUCUGAUGAUACAGGUAUGAGGGGCUAUUUAUACUAUAAACUUCUAAAGGUUAGCAACAUUCAGCUCGCGAGAAUGAAAGUGUGAACGAAACUCAACCCAGAUGUUAAUCAAAUACACACAUUGCCACAUUGGUUCC
rnacentral:lncRNA from 1 species